rnacentral:rRNA from 1 species
CGUAGCGAAAGUUACGCUAAUACCGCAUAUUCUGUGCGCAGGAAAGCAGGGGAUCGCAAGACCUUGCGCUGAUUGAGCGGCCGAUAUCAGAUUAGCUAGUUGGUGGGGUAAAAGCUCACCAAGGCGACGAUCUGUAGCGGGUCUGAGAGGAUGAUCCGCCACACUGGAACUGAGACACGGUCCAGACUCCUACGGGAGGCAGCAGUGGGGAAUUUUGGAUAAUGGGGGCAACCCUGAUCCAGCCAUGCCGCGUGAGUGAAGAAGGCCUUCGGGUUGUAAAGCUCUUUCGGCCGGGAAAAAAUCGCAUGGGUUAAUACCCUGUGUGGAUGAUGGUACCGGAAUAAGAAGCACCGGCUAACUACGUGCCAGCAGCCGCGGUAAUACGUAGCGUGCGAGCGUUAAUCGGAAUUACUGGGCGUAAAGCGUGCGCAGGCGGUUUUGUAAGACAGGCGUGAAAUCCCCGGGCUCAACCUGGGAACUGCGCUUGUGACUGCAAGGCUAGAGUAUGGCAGAGGGGGGUGGAAUUCCACGUGUAGCAAAAUGCGUAGAGAUGUGGAGGAACACCAAUGGCGAAGGCAGCCCCCUGGGCCAAUACUGACGCUCAUGCACGAAAGCGUGGGUAGCAAACAGGAUUAGAUACCCUGGUAGUCCACGCCCUAAACGAUGUCAACUAGGUGUUGGGAGGGUAAAACCUUUUAGUACCGGAGCUAACGCGUGAAGUUGACCGCCUGGGGAGUACGGCCGCAAGGUUAAAACUCAAAGGAAUUGACGGGGACCCGCACAAGCGGUGGAUGAUGUGGAUUAAUUUGAUGCAACGCGAAAAACCUUACCUACCCUUGACAUGUCCAGGAGCCUGAAGAGAUUUGGGUGUGCCCGAAAGGGAACUGGAACACAGGUGCUGCAUGGCUGUCGUCAGCUCGUGUCGUGAGAUGUUGGGUUAAGUCCCGCAACGAGCGCAACCCUUGUCGUUAAUUGCAUCAUUCAGUUGGGCACUUUAACGAGACUGCCGGUGACAAACCGGAGGAAGGUGGGGAUGACGUCAAGUCCUCAUGGCCCUUAUGGGUAGGGCUUCACACGUCAUACAAUGGUCGGUACAAAGGGUUGCCAACCCGCGAGGGGGAGCCAAUCCCAGAAAGCCGAUCGUAGUCCGGAUUGCAGGCUGCAACUCGCCUGCAUGAAGUCGGAAUCGCUAGUAAUCGUGGAUCAGCAUGUCACGGUAAAUACGUUCCCGGGUCUUGUACACACCGCCCGUCACACCAUGGGAGCGGGUUCCGCCAGAAGUAGGUAGCCUAACCGCAAGGGGGGCGCUUACCACGGCGGGGUUCGUGACUGGGGUGAAGUCGUAACAAGGUA